GGUUAAGCGACUAAGCGUACACGGUGGAUGCCCUGGCAGUCAGAGGCGAUGAAGGGCGUGCUAAUCUGCGAUAAGCGCCGGUAAGGUGAUAUGAACCGUUAUAACCGGCGAUACCCGAAUGGGGAAACCCAGUGUGAUUCGUCACACUAUCAUUAACUGAAUCCAUAGGUUAAUGAGGCGAACCGGGGGAACUGAAACAUCUAAGUACCCCGAGGAAAAGAAAUCAACCGAGAUUCCCCCAGUAGCGGCGAGCGAACGGGGAGGAGCCCAGAGCCUGAAUCAGCAUGUGUGUUAGUGGAAGCGUCUGGAAAGGCGCGCGAUACAGGGUGACAGCCCCGUACACAAAAGCGCAUGUGCUGUGAGCUCGAUGAGUAGGGCGGGACACGUGGUAUCCUGUCUGAAUAUGGGGGGACCAUCCUCCAAGGCUAAAUACUCCUGACUGACCGAUAGUGAACCAGUACCGUGAGGGAAAGGCGAAAAGAACCCCGGCGAGGGGAGUGAAAAAGAACCUGAAACCGUGUACGUACAAGCAGUGGGAGCACAGGUUUACCUGUGUGACUGCGUACCUUUUGUAUAAUGGGUCAGCGACUUAUAUUCUGUAGCAAGGUUAACCGUAUAGGGGAGCCGGAGGGAAACCGAGUCUUAACCGGGCGUUAAGUUGCAGGGUAUAGACCCGAAACCCGGUGAUCUAGCCAUGGGCAGGUUGAAGGUUGGGUAACACUAACUGGAGGACCGAACCGACUAAUGUUGAAAAAUUAGCGGAUGACCUGUGGCUGGGGGUGAAAGGCCAAUCAAACCGGGAGAUAGCUGGUUCUCCCCGAAAGCUAUUUAGGUAGCGCCUCGUGAAUUCAUCUCCGGGGGUAGAGCACUGUUUCGGCUAGGGGGCCAUCCCGGCUUACCAACCCGAUGCAAACUGCGAAUACCGGAGAAUGUUAUCACGGGAGACACACGGCGGGUGCUAACGUCCGUCGUGAAGAGGGAAACAACCCAGACCGCCAGCUAAGGUCCCAAAGUCAUGGUUAAGUGGGAAACGAUGUGGGAAGGCCCAGACAGCCAGGAUGUUGGCUUAGAAGCAGCCAUCAUUUAAAGAAAGCGUAAUAGCUCACUGGUCGAGUCGGCCUGCGCGGAAGAUGUAACGGGGCUAAACCAUGCACCGAAGCUGCGGCAGCGAACGUAUCACUUAAAGCGAUUCAGCGGGUUACGAUUGACGGAGCGAAGCGACGUCAAAGCGUAUACAAAGUCGAGUCGGUUUAAGGAUACGUUCGUUGGGUAGGGGAGCGUUCUGUAAGCCUGUGAAGGUGUGUCGUGAGGCAUGCUGGAGGUAUCAGAAGUGCGAAUGCUGACAUAAGUAACGAUAAAGCGGGUGAAAAGCCCGCUCGCCGGAAGACCAAGGGUUCCUGUCCAACGUUAAUCGGGGCAGGGUGAGUCGACCCCUAAGGCGAGGCCGAAAGGCGUAGUCGAUGGGAAACGGGUUAAUAUUCCCGUACUUGGUGUUACUGCGAAGGGGGGACGGAGAAGGCUAUGUUGGCCGGGCGACGGUUGUCCCGGUUUAAGCGUGUAGGUGUGUGUUCCAGGUAAAUCCGGUUCACUUUAACACUGAGGCGUGAUGACGAGGCACUACGGUGCUGAAGCAACAAAUGCCCUGCUUCCAGGAAAAGCCUCUAAGCAUCAGGUAACAUCAAAUCGUACCCCAAACCGACACAGGUGGUCAGGUAGAGAAUACCAAGGCGCUUGAGAGAACUCGGGUGAAGGAACUAGGCAAAAUGGUGCCGUAACUUCGGGAGAAGGCACGCUGACACGUAGGUGAAGUGAUUUACUCAUGGAGCUGAAGUCAGUCGAAGAUACCAGCUGGCUGCAACUGUUUAUUAAAAACACAGCACUGUGCAAACACGAAAGUGGACGUAUACGGUGUGACGCCUGCCCGGUGCCGGAAGGUUAAUUGAUGGGGUCAGCGCAAGCGAAGCUCCUGAUCGAAGCCCCGGUAAACGGCGGCCGUAACUAUAACGGUCCUAAGGUAGCGAAAUUCCUUGUCGGGUAAGUUCCGACCUGCACGAAUGGCGUAAUGAUGGCCAGGCUGUCUCCACCCGAGACUCAGUGAAAUUGAACUCGCUGUGAAGAUGCAGUGUACCCGCGGCAAGACGGAAAGACCCCGUGAACCUUUACUAUAGCUUGACACUGAACAUUGAGCCUUGAUGUGUAGGAUAGGUGGGAGGCUUUGAAGCGUGGACGCCAGUCUGCGUGGAGCCGACCUUGAAAUACCACCCUUUAAUGUUU
rnacentral:rRNA from 4 species